UUUUCUUUUAAAUUAGUUUUAUUUAAAAAUUUUCUUGAUUCUUUUCGAUUAACUAUAUUCAUCUCUUCUCCAUCUAUAUAAGAGGGUUAUUGGUAGAGUUUUUUCAAUCAACUGAGAGAAGUAAUAUUUUUAGAUAUCUCUAAAUAAUUAAUUUGGGCAAAUGGCCAGCAGCAUAGUCAACGAUGAAGACGACGAUAACACAUAUUCAUAUAUUUUUCUAAGAAUAAUGACAGUCGUAUCAAAAUCAAAUCAAGGAAAUACCAAAGGAACUCAUGGUAGAAUAGGCAAAUGAACCUAAUGUUCACAAUGUUUGCUUCAAUCCCCUCAGAAAGAAGUCGCUGUGAAGCUUGCAAAGAAAUAGAGGAUAGAAGAUGAAAGAGUGGGGAAACCUGGUUUAAGGGUAUUUACAAUGGAGAAAAAACACUUCCCCGAGAUCAGAAAGAGUGGAUCAACUCUUGAUCAAGGUUUUGCCACACACCAACUCUUCUGCCCUUCCUUUAUUUCAAACAAACUAUAUGAGCACUCAUAACUCAUAUUCAUAUGCUAUUUAGUCUACUAAAAUAAGAAUUAUAAACAGAAAGUUACAAAUAUCAAGUCUUCAAAGAAACAUAAGGACUCACAGUUGCAUCAUCAAGCAAAGAUUUUUCUGAAUCCAGAAGGUGGAACUUAUAAGAAAUGAGUAAUAGUCAAGAAGAUCAAGAUUAAACAUCAAGUGAGGCGAGAUUGAGAAGUUUAAAUGAAACACUAACAAGGACUCUUUGGACAAAGCUCUGACUGCUUUAAAAUGUCUUAUAAAUCUACAAAUUGGAAUAAAUAUGUAGAGAAUAUGAAGGUUGAAGAUUAUUUUCUUCGGUCAUUUACAUGUAUGAACUUUUUAAAUAUAGAUUUGGAGUGAUUUACUAAAAUAUAUUUGAACAUCUUCAUGGUAGUAUUAUGAUAUAGUGUUCAUGUCAAUGUGAUUUUCUACUCGAUAAUAAUUUUAGUCUUCUGAACUAUUAUGGAGUUACAACAUAAUAGUAAUUCAUUAUGUAAUAUUUUUUUAAUUUGUAAAAGGGUUAGGA